AUGUGGUGUAGCCCUGUAUAACAAUCAUUAGGAUACAGUGCAGAAAGUUCAUUAUAAAUAGACAAGUUCAUAUUAUUAAAAAAUAGUAGUUCAAUUAAGGUUAAAUACGGGAUAAAACGUGAUACAUAUAAUAUACACAGUUAAUAAAUAGAUGUGUGGUCAUUGGGCAGUAACAAAGUCACAGCCAAUCCAUCUAGAAAGGGGAGGGACAUGAGGUGCAACGUGUGGGUUCAGCAUGCUUUGAGCAGGUGAGAGGGAGAGAGAGAUGGUCCGGAGUCCUGGAGGGAAAGUGUCGUGGUUUGGGAAACAUUGGAGAGGUGUCUCGAGGUCGACUACUCGUUGUCCUGUUGUGUGCACUUCUAUGUUGCCUGCCAAAGGAGACGGACGUCUGUGAAGGGAGAGAAACUGAGAUGGUUGCUGCUGGAUGGACCCUGUUGUUUUCUUCUCUGGAUUUGUGCCUGUGUUUGGAUUGACUGUCAUCAUCAUCAUCAUCACCCCUAUCUGAGAUUAUCAUUGCCCUGUUGCUCCUCGUUUUGGACUUGUGAGUAUUUAACUGACAUGAAAUGCACGUGCUUUUAUUUUAUGCUCUGGAUUGAGUGAAGUGGCCACCACAGUUUUCAGGUCUCACCGCACCCGAGCAUCAUCACAGGCCUGCAACUGAGCCUCAAGGUUAUAUUUUCUGGAGUGGGCCCACAUAUGAUUUUCUGUUUGUAAAUUUAAACUUGAAUUGUUUUGUUUGAUUCAUAGACCUGGGUAAGGUACAUUUUUAUUUAACAUUUUAGAAAUUCAGGAACUGUUUACAGCAUUUAAAGAAACCCUGUAUUUUUUAUUUUGUGCAUUUAUUUUAUAUGGAAAAUAAACACCUGUUGACGGUUUA